rnacentral:rRNA from 1 species
GAUGAAACGCUAGCGGGAGGCUUAACACAUGCAAGUCGAGGGGCAGCAUAGGGUAGCAAUACUCUGAUGGCGACCGGCAAACGGGUGAGUAACGCGUAUGCAACCUACCCUGUACAGGGGGAUAACCCGGAGAAAUUCGGACUAAUAUCCCGUAAUAAUAUCCGGAGGCAUCUUUGGAUAUUUAAAGUUCCGACGGUACGGGAUGGGCAUGCGUAACAUUAACUGGUUGGUAAGGUAACGGCUUACCAAGGCUAUGAUGUUUAGGGGUCCUGAGAGGGUGGUCCCCCACACUGGUACUGAGACACGGACCAGACUCCUACGGGAGGCAGCAGUGAGGAAUAUUGGUCAAUGGGCGCAAGCCUGAACCAGCCAUCCCGCGUGCAGGAAGACGGCCCUAUGGGUUGUAAACUGCUUUUCCAGGGAGAGAAACUUACGCACGUGUUGCGUGACUGACGGUACCCUGGGAAUAAGCAUCGGCUAACUCCGUG